rnacentral:SRP_RNA from 1 species
GCCGGGCAUGGUGGCGCGUUCCUGUAGUCCCAGCUGCUCGGGAGGCUGAGGCUGGAGGAUCGCUUGAGCCCAGGAGUUCUGGGCUGUAGUGCGCUAUGCCAAUCGGGUGUCCACACUAAGUUUGGCAGGUUGCCUAAGGAGGAGUGAACCAGCCCAGGUUGGAAACGGAGCAGGUCAAAACUCCCAUGCUGAUCAGCAGUGGGAUUGCACCUGUGAAUAGCCACUGCACUCCAGCCUGGGCAACACAGUGAGACCCCGUAUCU